UACGGAGGAUGCAAGCGUUAUCCGGAUUUAUUGGGUUUAAAGGGUGCGUAGGCGGCCGAGUAAGUCAGCGGUGAAAUUUUGCAGCUUAACUGUAACAGUGCCGUUGAUACUGCAUGGCUAGGAUUUGGUUGCUGUGGGUGGAAUGUGUGGCGUAGCGGUGAAAUGCUUAGAUAUCACACAGAAUAUCAAUUGCGAAGGCAGCUCACAAAGCCAAGAUUGACGCUGAGGCACGAAAGUGUGGGGAUCAAA
rnacentral:rRNA from 1 species